UAGUCCACGCCGUAAACGAUGUGUGCUAGUUGUCAGCAUUUAGGUGUUGGUGACGGAGCGAAAGCAUUAAGCACACCGCCUGGGGAGUACGGCCGCAAGGUUAAAACUCAAAGGAAUUGACGGGGACCCGCACAAGCGGUGGAGCAUGUUGUUUAAUUCGAAGCAACGCGAAGAACCUUACCCACUCUUGACAUCCUCCUUGGGGCUUUUAGAGAUAAAAGCUUUCGGUUCGGCCGGGGGAGUGACAGGUGCUGCAUGGCUGUCGUCAGCUCGUGUCGUGAGAUGUUCGGUUAAGUCCGGUAACGAGCGCAACCCUUAUUACUAGUUGCCAGCAUUCAGUUGGGCACUCUAGUGAGACUGCCGGUGUCAAGCCGGAGGAAGGUGGGGACGACGUCAAGUCAUCAUGGGCCCUUACGAGUGGGGGCUACAAACGUGCUACAAUGGGCAACGACAAUGGGCAGCUAACCCGCGAGGGCAUGCUAAUCUCAAACGUCGUCUCAGUUCGGAUUGUUCUCU
rnacentral:rRNA from 1 species